rnacentral:lncRNA from 1 species
GCAGCUCAUUCUGCCAAGUGAGAAUUCUUUCUGACAAACUUCUUCAAACGCUCCUCCGUAGAAUGCAGUUUCUUGUACCUGCUCCUCGAUGGUGUCUGCAAGGCUAACUGUCCUGAGGGAUACUUUGAGGACCUUGACCAGGGGAAGUGCACUCCCUGCCACCCCGCCUGUGCUUCCUGCUCAGGGCCUCUGCCUGACGACUGCGAGAGCUGCUCUCCUGACUCCCCCAAACUGUAUGAAGGCCAGUGCUCUGAGGAAUGUCCUCCAGGAACAUAUUACAAGAUGUCAGCCUAUGAAUGCCAAGAGUGUGACCAGACCUGUGUGAGCUGUACUGGCCCUGAGCCCACAGAUUGCACCAAGUGUAAAAAAGGCCUGACACUGGAUCCAAAAACCAGAAUGUGUGGCAUCACCAGUGACUCCAACUGCCCACCCAAAACAUUUCUUGAUGAAAACCAGGUCUCCUGCAUGGCUUGUCACCACCAGUGUGAAUCCUGUGUAGGGCCUGCUGCAAGCGACUGCCAGACCUGUGCUGUGCCCAAUUACUUGUACAGUAAGAACACCUUCUCAGAUCCUGUCUGUGUCCUUGUAGCUGGCUGUCCAAUUUGUUUAGCAGAUAGGACACAUUUUCAACAUAGUUCAAUGCUAUAUCCAAG